rnacentral:rRNA from 1 species
GACGAACGCUGGCGGCGUGCCUAAUACAUGCAAGUAGAACGCUGAAGGAGGAGCUUGCUUCUCCGGAUGAGUUGCGAACGGGUGAGUAACGCGUAGGUAACCUGCCUGGUAGCGGGGGAUAACUAUUGGAAGCGAUAGCUAAUACCGCAUAACAGUAGAUAUUGCAUGAUAUCUGCUUGAAAGGUGCAAUUGCAUCACUACCAGAUGGACCUGCGUUGUAUUAGCUAGUUGGUGGGGUAACGGCUCACCAAGGCGACGAUACAUAGCCGACCUGAGAGGGUGAUCGGCCACACUGGGACUGAGACACGGCCCAGACUCCUACGGGAGGCAGCAGUAGGGAAUCUUCGGCAAUGGACGGAAGUCUGACCGAGCAACGCCGCGUGAGUGAAGAAGGUUUUCGGAUCGUAAAGCUCUGUUGUAAGAGAAGAACGAGUGUGAGAGUGGAAAGUUCACACUGUGACGGUAUCUUACCAGAAAGGGACGGCUAACUACGUGCCAGCAGCCGCGGUAAUACGUAGGUCCCGAGCGUUGUCCGGAUUUAUUGGGCGUAAAGCGAGCGCAGGCGGUUAGAUAAGUCUGAAGUUAAAGGCUGUGGCUUAACCAUAGUACGCUUUGGAAACUGUUUAACUUGAGUGCAAGAGGGGAGAGUGGAAUUCCAUGUGUAGCGGUGAAAUGCGUAGAUAUAUGGAGGAACACCGGUGGCGAAAGCGGCUCUCUGGCUUGUAACUGACGCUGAGGCUCGAAAGCGUGGGGAGCAAACAGG